AGUGAACGCUGGCGUUAGGCCUAACACAUGCAAGUCGAACGGCAGCACAGUAAGAGCUUGCUCUUACGGGUGGCGAGUGGCGGACGGGUGAGGAAUACAUCGGAAUCUACUUUUUCGUGGGGGAUAACGUAGGGAAACUUACGCUAAUACCGCAUACGACCUUCGGGUGAAAGCAGGGGAUCUUCGGACCUUGCGCGAUUGAAUGAGCCGAUUUCGGAUUAGCUAGUUGGCGGGGUAAAGGCCCACCAAGGCGGCGAUCCGUAGCUGGACUGAGAGGAUGAUCAGCCACACGGGAACUGGAACACGGUCAAGACUCCCAAGGGAGGCAGCAGUGGGGAAUAUUAGACAGUGGGCGCAAGCCUGAUCCAGACAUACCGCGUGGGUAAAAAAGGCCUUCGGGUUGUAAAACCCUUUUGUUGGGGAAGAAAAGCAGCAGGUUAAUACCCCGCUGUUCUGACGGUACCCAAAGAAUAUGCACCGGAUAACUUCGUG
rnacentral:rRNA from 1 species